GACAGAGGAUGCAAGCGUUAUCCGGAAUGAUUGGGCGUAAAGCGUCUGUAGGUGGCUUUCAAGUCCGCCGUCAAAUCCCAGGGCUCAACCCUGGACAGGCGGUGGAAACUACCAAGCUGGAGUACGGUAGGGGCAGACGGGAAUUUCCGGUGGAGCGGUGAAAUGCAUUGAGAUCGGAAAGAACACCAACGGCGGAAAGCACUCUGCUGGGCCGACACUGACACUGAGAGACGAAAGCUAGGGGAGCAAAUGGG
rnacentral:rRNA from 1 species